rnacentral:rRNA from 1 species
CCUACGGGAGGCAGCAGUGAGGAAUAUUGGUCAAUGGACGAGAGUCUGAACCAGCCAAGUAGCGUGAAGGAUGACUGCCCUAUGGGUUGUAAACUUCUUUUAUAUGGGAAUAAAAUGUUCCACGUGUGGGAUUUUGUAUGUACCAUAUGAAUAAGGAUCGGCUAACUCCGUGCCAGCAGCCGCGGUAAUACGGAGGAUCCGAGCGUGAUCCGGAUUUAUUGGGUUUAAAGGGAGCGUAGGUGGAUUGUUAAGUCAGUUGUGAAAGUUUGCGGUGCAACCGUAAAAUUGCAGUUGAAACUGGCAGUCUUGAGUACAGUAGAGGUAGGCGGAAUUCGUGGUGUAGCGGUGAAAUGCUUAGAGAUCACGAAGAACUCCGAUUGCGAAGGCAGUUCACUAGACUGCAACUGACACUGAGGCUCGAAAGUGUGGGUAUCAAACAGGAUUAGAUACCCUAGUAGUC